rnacentral:rRNA from 1 species
UACGGAGGGGGCUAGCGUUGUUCGGAAUUACUGGGCGUAAAGCGCACGUAGGCGGCUUUGUAAGUUAGAGGUGAAAGCCCGGGGCUCAACUCCGGAAUUGCCUUUAAGACUGCAUCGCUAGAAUUGUGGAGAGGUAAGUGGAAUUCCGAGUGUAGAGGUGAAAUUCGUAGAUAUUCGGAAGAACACCAGUGGCGAAGGCGACUUACUGGACACAUAUUGACGCUGAGGUGCGAAAAGCGUGGGGAGCAACAGG